ensembl:lncRNA LINC01016 long intergenic non-protein coding RNA 1016
GGCUGCGGGAGGAGGUGGCCGAGACCCCUUCCCUAGACCGCGAGGCAGGACGGAGGCAGCCGUUAGGAACGGCCCCACUCCACCAGCCGGCCCCGCGGGACGGUUACUCUGUUCCUGAGGUACCCCCCGAGAUUGUCUGUGGGGUCAGAAACAGCUCUGGAGGGGUCUGCAGAAAUUACUUUCCCAAGUCUUUGGGCUGGAAGGAACGAACAGUGCCUGACCAAGGACUUUGAGCAGGAGAGAGAUGGGAGCAGAGAGGAGCCAAGACCGUCUUGGACUACCAGCCUGUCCGCCACCCCUCGGGGCCCUCCCUCCUACUCUGCCCUUGCCCGCUGAGGUCCCAAGCUGAGGAGAUGAGCCGAGCAGUAAAAAGAGAGGAGGUUUGGAAAAGCAAUGUCCUCUCAGUCUUUAAUAGGUGGCCCCCCUGGGAACCUGCUGGAAGUGGAAGUUAAUAAGCUGAAGGUGGUCACAACCAAUCUCUGCCACACUCGCACCCUACCCCACCCCAAAUCAUUCCUUUUAAUUAAUAGUGGAAGACCUUUUUAAAAAUGUAACAUGAAUUGGCUAUUUCUUGAGGCAAACAAAAGGUGGCUCUGAAGCGAUAUAUUUGUACUCGUAUAAAUUCAUUAAAAUAGAAAGCUUAUAACCAUCCA